UAGGGUAUGGCUCAGUGGUAGAGUGUUUGCCUGGAAUGCAUAAAGUCCUGGUUCAAAUUGUCAGUACUAAAA
rnacentral:tRNA from 1 species